rfam:Salmo salar isolate Sally breed double haploid chromosome ssa13, whole genome shotgun sequence.
GCCGUGAUCGUAUAGUGGUUAGUACUCUGCGUUGUGGACGCAGGAACCCUGGUUCGAAUCCGGGUCACGGCA